rnacentral:rRNA from 1 species
UACGAAGGGGGCUAGCGUUGCUCAGAAUCACUGGGCGUAAAGGUGCGUAGGCGGUCUUUAAGUCAGGGGUGAAAUCCUGGAGCUCAACUCCAGAACUGCCUUUGAUACUGAAGAUCUUGAGUUCGGGAGAGGUGAGUGGAACUGCGAGUGUAGAGGUGAAAUUCGUAGAUAUUCGCAAGAACACCAGUGGCGAAGGCGGCUCACUGGCCCGAUACUGACGCUGAGGCACGAAAGCGUGGGGAGCAAACAGG